GUUUGUUAGUACGGUUCAUUUAGGCUGGUGUGAAAGCUGUCAGUGACAUCCUGGUGUGGAUCAAACAACCAAACCGAGACCACUUAAAAAGUUGAGUCUUGGCCCGCUUCCAAACGGACUCUGGUGCCAUCACAUCCUCACUGUGACCUCGUCACAUGUCCAGGUUUGGUCAUAGACUUUCCACGUCCACAUAUGACGUCCAAGGAUGUGGUCGCUCAGUGAGGACGAGCUGCACAAAGAUGCCUGCGUCACAGACGAAGGUGGCGGUGGUUUCUGCCUCAAAGCCUGCUGGGACAGGAUGUGUGGGCGGGGAGAUGGAGGUCAGGCGGUGCUGGGGUGAAGACGUAUCGUCAGCUUCACCGCCAACAGGAUGUCAGCAGCAGGAUGUGCACGAGCUUCAAAAGAAGCAGAAGUAGAAACGAGGCUGCAGCAGCGUGAAACUUUGAGGUCACAAUCUGACAAACAUCCGUCGGCACACAGAUGAGGAAAAAACACGACCUCAGAAUAUUUCCGACACGUGUGGAGGAAAAAAAAAUAAAAACUUGCAACUGAAAGUGUCUCAAAACUUCCAGGAAGAAAUAAAAUAAUAUCAAAAACAUAUAAAUAUAUAUAUGAGAAAAACUAUGUGUGGUAACACUGUGAUAUAUUAUCUGUUCAUACAACAGCUUUCACACAGGGCUGUCCACAGGAGGACCUACAAGUGUUAACAAAUAUAUUCACUGACAUUUAUAUCUGCAUGGAAGUCUGUUACAAACCAUUUAUGAUAUUUAGGCAUCAGGGCUGUCCACAUACUUAUGGUCAAAUAUUGUAUAUUUACAUAAUAAGGUCCAACGGUUCAACCAAACUGUCGGCCAUCACUCCCGCUCUCUGGGAGCUCUCCUGCUCCGUCUCCACAGACUGCCCUCAGUGAUAUAAUCAACAUGUGGAGUAAAGUGUUCCCUACACUUCUGUUAGUGUUAUAUGUUGUGUAAAAUUUAUGAUGCGUCCUUGAAAAGUGCUGAAAACGUUUUUAAAUUUUGUCCAUAAAAAUGUGUGGGAACGCUGAAAGAAAGAAGUGGUGUUUCAUAAAGCCGUAACACCGUCAGUCUGGACCUCCAAGACUUCCUGAAGAAGUGUGUGAGGGACAGACUUUAUAAUGAUUAACAUACAUCAGGUUCAAAAUGAUUCAACGCAUCUUUUGCAGCAAGUGUCUCAUUGUUCAACGGAAGGACAUCAGAGGUCAGAGGUCAGAGGUCAGGGGUCAGGGGUCAGGGGGGGAUUCCUUGUCUGUCUCUGUGUAAAGUGAUGAACAGACACUAAAAUGCUUUAAAACAAACGUGUCAUGUGUGGAUCAUCAUGGACACACAGAGGAGGACAACAGGGUUUAUUUUUAUUACUCUGACUGUGAAAACUACAGAAAUGAAAUGAAAUAUAAAUGAGAUAAUGUUUGGACGAGUCCAGGCUGCUGAAACACAUGUGAAUGCAUCAAAAGUCUGAGGGCGAUAAAAGAUCAGAUUUUACAUGAAAUUGUUUGAUUUCAGGGGAAGAAAUGACUUUAUAUUCGGCUCUGGGUUACAGGUUUGGAGUCAUUUGUCCUGCAGGUGGUGUGCUGCUGCCAUUCCUAUUGCUUUUCCAUGUGACAACAGCGCCACUGUGUGACUUCUCUCAGGAACUGCUACCCUCACAUCAACAAGUCCUGAGUGAAGCAGAGGCUUGUACUACAAAGCCACUUCAACUCAGCCAGGAUAUCUUCUGGUUAUCUGCUUUGACUAAGCUUAACUUUGGACAUCUGGAUAAGCGCUGCUACAAAGCUGGUUAUCAACUAGUUCAGUCAGCUCUGGGUUUUCCUAUCAGCCACGAGCGUGUUCAUGUGAAAGAGCCAGUGGUGUUAAUUAUGGGCCACAUCAUCAGAACCAUGAAUGAAGUAGGCUGCUUCAUAUUAUAUGAGAUGAAACGGCAGCAAAAGUGUCUGCUACUGUGAGACAGUCAAAUGUCAGUGGCGUGGGAUGGAAACAACAAUCUGUAAUCUUCAAAAGGAAAAUCUAGAAACAUUGUAAACACCAUCCAAAAAUGUAGCGUCAUCUGAGACUUAAGUUAGGUGCAUGUAUCACUGAGCUAUGGGCCAAUGUGACAUUAGUACAGAGUAUUAUUUUGCUGUUUAGUUGGACGAUGAUAAUACCACCCUCAAUCUGUCACAUAAAACACUUUGAAGUGACGCCAGACUGUUUGUGUUACUGAAGUAAAGGCUGGAAAAGUAGUUAAGGACUGAUGAGGUCUGUCUGAUCCAAAUGUUACAUUUAUAAUAACAGGAGCCAAUUAAUAAUGUCUGGAUUAUUUUACUAAUAAAAUAUGAUGUGUUUUGUCCCAGUUCUCAUCACACAGGUGUCUCAGGUUAUUUUGAGCUGCAGUGAUGAAUCAGAGUGUAAAAUAUCACCAUCACUGCAGACUGAAAUAAACUUUGCAUCAUUUCAAACAGUGUUAAAAUCAUGUGUUUAGUGUUGUAAACAAUCUCUCCAUUUGUUAGAAGCUCUGUUUUAAAACCAGUGGAAAUAAUGAAAUGAUUCUACUGACCUGUGACAGCAUACAGGCUGCUCUUUUUUACCUGCUGUCACUCUGGACUUUGCUACAUGGAGACUUUUUUCUUCAGUGAUCUGAUUGGUCAGAGGUCGGGGUGUUGACAGGCUGUGAUCCCAUACCCUGAAGUUAACCUGCUCUGGAGCAGCUUAGCUGUUCAGCAUACGUUGCCACGGUGAUUUAUCAUGGUCAAAAGAGAACCAGCUUGGUAGUGCUGAAAACCCAGAGUUAAGCCCAAAGUUAUCUGGCUAACUUCAAAUCCUGCUUCCUAGUACAGGCCUCAGGACAUUUCUGUCACGUGAGAAGGAUCUUACCGAAGACGACUGCAUUAAAGAAAACUGUGAUGUACAGAGCCAUGUCGUACACUUCACCCAGGUGACCAGUAGGAUCACUUUAAAGAGAC